rnacentral:misc_RNA from 1 species
GGCGGUUUUAGGUGCUGUUGCCUUUAUCUCUAUUUAUUUGGUGUAUGCUGCUUUUGUUGCUGCAAAUGAGAUGCUUAGGGAUCGCGAGACUAGUUUGAAGUUGGAUUUAAUUGCUCCUUUGUUACCAGUUACAUCGAGUAGCAUAGAUGGAGAGAGCGAUUCUUCUUUAGGUGGGCCGGAAUCAGCAGAUGGAUUGCUGCAGCUACAAGCUCCGCUGCCACAUUGGAUGUGGUCUUCAUAUGUCGCAAUCUUCUCUGAUGAAGUUGUGAAGGAUAAUUCUGUAGGAAAUAGUCCAAUGGAUUUGUGGGGUUGGAAUGAACAUGAUGAU